rnacentral:rRNA from 1 species
GGGCCCGCACAAGCGGUGGAGUAUGUGGUUUAAUUCGAUGCAACGCGAAGAACCUUACCAGGGUUUGACAUCCUGCGAAUCUCUUGGAAACAGGAGAGUGCCUUCGGGAACGCAGUGACAGGUGGUGCAUGGCUGUCGUCAGCUCGUGUCGUGAGAUGUUGGGUUAAGUCCCGCAACGAGCGCAACCCACGUCUUUAGUUGCCAGCAUUUAGUUGGGGACUCUAGCGAGACUGCCAGUGAUAAACUGGAGGAAGGUGGGGAUGACGUCAAAUCAUCAUGCCCCUUAUGACCUGGGCUACAAACGUGAUACAAUGGCUAUUACAGAGGGCCGCAAGUUCGCGAGGACAAGCAAAUCCCAUAAACCGUGGCUCAGUUCAGAUCGUAGGCUGCAACUCGCCUACGUGAAGGCGGAAUCGCUAGUAAUCGC